rnacentral:rRNA from 1 species
UACGUAGGGAGCGAGCGUUGUUCGGAAUUACUGGGCGUAAAGAGUGUGUAGGCGGUGCUCUAAGUUUGGUGUGAAAUCUCCCGGCUUAACUGGGAGGGUGCGCCGGAAACUGGAGUGCUCGAGCGUGGGAGAGGAAAGCGGAAUUCCUGGUGUAGCGGUGAAAUGCGUAGAUAUCAGGAGGAACACCUGCGGUGUAGACGGCUUUCUGGACCAUUGCUGACGCUGAGACACGAAAGCGUGGGUAGCAAACAGG